GGCCGCGGGCGCCGCUGCUAACUGUGGGGCUGGAGGACGCGGCCGAGGCGGAGCGCGGCGGCCAGCGGACGAGAUGCGAGCGCUGCCGCUGUGGGCCGCUGUGCUGGUGCUGGGGGCGCUGGCGGGCGUCGGCGUCGGAGGGCCCAACAUCUGUGCCACACGAGGCGUGAGCUCCUGCCAGCAAUGUCUGGCUGUGAGUCCCAUGUGUGCCUGGUGCUCAGAUGAGGCUCUGCCUCCGGGCUCGCCCCGCUGUAACCUGAAGGAGAAUCUGCUGAAGAAUGACUGCGCCCUGGAGUCCAUCGAGUUCCCCAUCAGCGAGGCCAGAAUCCUGGAGGCCAGGCCCCUCAGUGACAAGGGCUCUGGAGACAGCUCCCAGAUCACUCAAGUCAGUCCCCAGAGGAUUGCACUCCGGCUACGGCCAGAUGAUUCGAAGAAUUUCUCCGUCCAAGUUCGGCAGGUGGAGGAUUACCCCGUGGACAUCUACUACUUAAUGGACCUGUCUUAUUCCAUGAAGGACGAUCUGUGGAGCAUCCAGAACCUGGGUACCAAGCUGGCCUCCCAGAUGCGUAAGCUCACCAGUAACCUGCGGAUUGGCUUCGGGGCCUUUGUGGACAAGCCCGUUUCACCAUACAUGUACAUCUCCCCACCAGAGGCCCUCAGAAACCCCUGCUAUGAUAUGAAGACCACCUGUUUGCCCAUGUUUGGCUACAAACACGUGCUGACGCUAACUGACCAGGUGACCCGUUUCAAUGAGGAGGUGAAGAAGCAGAGUGUGUCACGAAACCGAGAUGCCCCAGAGGGUGGCUUUGAUGCCAUCAUGCAGGCUACCGUCUGUGAUGAGAAGAUUGGCUGGAGGAAUGAUGCCUCCCACUUGCUGGUGUUUACCACUGAUGCCAAGACCCAUAUAGCGCUGGAUGGAAGGCUGGCAGGCAUUGUCCAGCCCAACGAUGGGCAGUGUCAUGUGGGCAGUGACAACCAUUAUGCUGCCUCCACUACCAUGGAUUAUCCCUCUCUGGGGCUGAUGACUGAGAAGCUGUCCCAGAAAAACAUCAAUUUGAUCUUUGCAGUGACUGAAAAUGUAGUCAAUCUCUACCAGAACUAUAGUGAGCUCAUCCCAGGGACCACAGUGGGGGUUCUAUCUACUGAUUCCAGCAAUGUCCUCCAGCUCAUUGUUGAUGCUUACGGGAAAAUCCGCUCUAAAGUAGAGCUGGAAGUGCGUGACCUCCCUGAGGAGUUGUCCUUAUCCUUCAACGCCACCUGUCUCAACAACGAGGUCAUCCCAGGCCUUAAGUCUUGUGUCGGACUCAAGAUUGGAGACACGGUGAGCUUCAGCAUUGAGGCCAAGGUGCGUGGCUGCCCCCAGGAGAAGGAGAAGUCCUUCACCAUCAAGCCUGUGGGCUUCAAAGACAGCCUCACCGUCCAGGUCACCUUCGACUGUGACUGUGCCUGCCAGGCCCAGGCUGAGCCUCAGAGCCACCACUGCAACAACGGCAACGGGACCUUUGAGUGUGGGGUGUGCCGCUGCGGGCCUGGCUGGCUGGGGUCCCAGUGUGAGUGCUCAGAAGAGGACUACCGUCCCUCCCAGCAGGACGAGUGUAGCCCCCGGGAGGGCCAGCCCAUCUGCAGCCAGCGGGGCGAGUGUCUCUGUGGCCAGUGCGUCUGCCAUAGCAGUGACUUUGGCAAGAUCACGGGCAAGUACUGCGAGUGUGAUGACUUCUCCUGUGUCCGCUACAAGGGGGAGAUGUGCUCAGGCCAUGGCCAGUGCAGCUGUGGGGACUGCCUGUGUGACUCCGACUGGACCGGCUACUACUGCAACUGUACCACACGCACGGACACCUGCAUGUCCAGCAAUGGGCUGCUGUGCAGUGGGCGGGGCAAGUGUGAAUGCGGCAGCUGCGUCUGCAUCCAGCCGGGCUCCUACGGGGACACCUGUGAGAAGUGUCCCACCUGCCCUGAUGCCUGCACCUUUAAGAAGGAGUGUGUGGAGUGUAAGAAGUUUAACCGAGGAGCCCUGUACGAGGAGAAUACCUGCAGCCGUUACUGUCGUGAUGAGAUUGAGCCUGUGAAGGAGCUUAAGGACACUGGAAAGGAUGCUGUGAAUUGUACCUACAAGAAUGAGGAGGACUGUGUCGUCAGAUUCCAGUACUAUGAAGACUCCAGUGGAAAGUCCAUCCUGUAUGUGGUAGAAGAGCCCGAGUGUCCCAAGGGCCCUGACAUCCUGGUGGUCCUGCUUUCAGUGAUGGGGGCCAUUCUGCUCAUCGGCCUUGCUACUCUGCUCAUCUGGAAGCUCCUCAUUACCAUCCAUGACCGGAAGGAGUUUGCUAAAUUUGAGGAAGAGAGAGCCAGAGCCAAAUGGGACACAGCCAACAACCCACUGUAUAAAGAGGCCACGUCCACCUUCACCAACAUCACCUAUCGGGGCACUUAAUGACAGGCAGUCAUCCUCAGAUCACUAUCAGACUGUCCCAGGACUGUGGGUGUCUCUGCUGUCAUGUUUGCAGGGGCAAUACCUGUGGGGCGGAAUUGGGGGCUUGGAGUGGGGUGGGUGGGAAGAAUGUGGGUCUCUGUGCGUGUGUGCAUGUGGGUGUGCUGCGUGUGGGAGAGUGUGUAACUUAAAACUUGUGAUGUGUCCCAGAGAAGCAGAGCUCCUCGCCUUUGUCCUCAGAACGCCUCCUUCAGGGAGUCUACCUGCUUAACCUGAGGGUGACCUAGUAGCUGAGCAGGUAUUCUUCAUUACCUCAGUGGGAAGCCAGCUUUCCUUCUCAGGCCAUUCUCUUAAAGAGGAGGGCAGGGCCAAGGCCUCUCAUUUCAGAGAAAGGGGCCUUGGUUUACCCUGUGUUUAUGGUUCUUGGGCCUGACUCUCAGCAGCUCUGGUAGGAACUGCCAGGCUUUGCAGCCUUGCUGUGUCAUCCAUGCCCCUAGCUCCUCUCCCUUCCCUCAGGCAGAAGGAGAAAUCCGGGGAGAGCUGAACCAUCAGAGCUGCCUGUCUUUGCCAUCACCUCAGUCCGGCAUGGUUCUCUCCUAAAGGAAGUCCUUUCUACCUAUUCUUCGGUCUGUUGGGAGUGAGAAUGGCAGGGUCACCCACGGGUCAUGCAUGGCCUGGGGUUAAGGUGCCCGAGUUCCCGAGUUCAUAAUCCUAACCCUUCAGAUUUGCCUCAUUGACAGCUCUACCCUAGUGAUUCGUGUAGAAAAAGUGUGUCACCCUUAGACCAGCAACACCUCUUUACCUCCUAUUCCACCCUCUCACUACUAUAGACAUUUGCUACAUACUGGGAAUUUCUCUCAUGACCAGAAGCUAUUCCUUCCAGGGAGAGUGCUAUGGUUAGAGCCAGAGGUCUGGCCUCACCCUUCAGGCCUUCUGUCUCGUGUCCAAGGCACCUCCACACACCCAACCCUGUGCUUCUGUGUGCUACGUCCACCCAUGGGGCUGAUUGCAUUUAUCUACCUCUUGGGUGUCUUGUGAAGGAGUCAUUCCCACGGGUCUUUGAGUCUGCUGGGCAUAAGUGCCAGGGUGGAAUGAUGGGCCAGUCAUAUCAGCGUGUGUGGCCCAUUCUCCUAUGGGCCGGGCAACCUCAUUUUAACUCAGUCUUUAAUCUGAGAGGCCACAAGUGCAAUUUUGUUUUAUUUUUCUCAUUGGGGCACCUGAAACCAUGAUGAGGCUUGUUUAAUCUAAAGGAGCAUAGAUAUAAACACACUUGCAUUAUAUUUGUAAUUUUAUUUGAUGAUGAAGAAGAAAAGGGUGAAAAGCCACACAGACCUGGGCUGGAUGCAGACACUCCCACUUGGCAUCAUUCAUAGCAAGUUGCUGCCCAGUUGCUGGGUCUGUAAGGGCUCUCUCAUCCCUGAAGCCUGCGGGGAUGGACACAUGGACAUGCUGGACCUUUCCCAAGCAGGAGGAGGUAAAUGGGCUGUUCUUUUUUUCUAGCAAAAGCAGAAAAACUCCAUUGGUGUUUACAUUCGUUCAACGUUAACCACCACCACCACUCCCCAAGAAAAAGGGAAGGGCCUAAAAACAGUGGUCUGAUGGUCAGAAAAUCUAAGUCCUGGCCUCAGUGUUGCAGCUAAGGAACUUUAACCUUAAUUAAGGCAAGUUACUUUCUUUUUCCUGGGGCUCAGUUUUCUAGUUUGAAAAAUGAUGGGUUUGGACCAGCCAGUCUAGGCGGUCUCUUUCCGUACCAACAGUCUGUGAUGCUGGGACUUACUGUGGCAUCAAACAUGCAGUCAGGAUUCUGUGGGAUGUUGAUGCUGUUUGUUUUUUCGGUUGGGAGACCUGGCUCUGGCAAGAGCAGAUGUCAUCCCAUAUCACCUUUCUCAGUGAAAAAGCUUCAUUCUGUCGUCUCAUAGAACCCCUUUUCCAACUGUUGUUGGUAGUUACAUCUCCUGUUGUAGCACUUAAGCUCCACUUAGUUAUUAUUUCUUUGUUCACUUUGCACAUGGUUUCAUCCACGAAUUGGGGAAGAGGACUCCAUAAGAAGUAGCUGCAAUGUGUCUUCUGUAUCCAUGUGUUAACAUUGAGAAUAAGCCUUGGGAUUAGGAACAGGACAGAUGACCGAGCCCUGCCUCACUUGUGGAUUACACCUUCCUGUUGAGGAUGCACGCCUGUAAUGACUUCCUCCACUGAAGUCUUGAACCCCUCAAAGUCAUCUGUGAAGCUUGGAAUCAACUUCUUCCAAACUCCAACUUUUGUUUAAGGCAGUGGGUUUCAAAGUGUCGGCCCUAGGACCAGAUGAUCUAAGUCCCCCUGGUGAUUUUUUUGCAUGCUCAAGUUUGAGAACCACUGAUUUAAGGAAUCACAUACCUAUCCUUUCUGGCUUAGAAAGAAGUUUACAAUAAGUCAGCUCAGUUACUAAAAGAUUAAGAACAUACCUUGGCUGAUAGAUUAAGAAAACCAAAUAUCUACCCACACAAAAUGAAAGUCUACUUUCAAUCCAUUUUCCAAGUUAAGUAAUCACAGGCUUAUUGGGUUCACUCACAGCCACAAAUUCCCAUGAAAAACUAAAAGAAGUAAUAGAUCAGAAUCACAGGGGAAAAAAACCGCUAACAGGAUACUUGGCUGGCAGAGAAGAACCUUUUGUGUGUACCAAGCUGAAGCAAGAAAAUACUCUUACUGCAUUAAUUCACAGGAGAUAGGAUCAAAAUCUUAAUUAUUAACAGUGUCAUCCAAUAGGAUGCCAGAAUAAGACUUUAGAAUUUGUAACUUCACUUUUUGCUAUUUAAAAUUUAUUAAGCACUGACAGUGUGGCAUUGAAGUACUUUAUAGAACAUUUGUUAUCUUUGCCUUUGAGUCUUACAUUCCUUACGUAAUGUACAUUUUUAAAAACACAAUACAGUACAUGUCAUCAUAAAAAGAUUAUGUGAACCUAGACUGAGUCCUUAUAUGGUGAAAUUUUGUAAGAUUCCUUGUUUUAUUUACGUCAUGGUAACUGAUGACUAAAUGGAUGAAAAUGGAGGACUUUAUGUGAAAAUGAAAUGGAAAGCAAUAUGUCAAGUAUAUGUGUAAUCCUUUAACUCUUGACCUCUGUAGUUUGAAUUCUAUUAUAAUAGACAUCUAAUGACCACUGGGACCAAUUAUAAGCAGAUUCUCUUGGAAUUACAAUGCCAUCAUUUUUCACAAUGAUGUAAGGAAACAAUAAUAUAUGCUUUGCAGAUAAGCUAUUUAAUACUUGCUGAAAAAUAAUUUCUACUUGGUUUUGUAAUAUAUUCUGGAAAUACAUUUUCCUAAUUUGUUUUAGUUUGAUUAAAGCACACAAGGAGGCAGUUUUAAAUCUUUUGAUCGGGGUUAACCAUACUGUUAAAUAAAAUUUUAAAAAUCCACUUACUGUGGGUAUCCAAGAAUGGAUUGUGUGUGAAAGGAAAAUUAUAGAUCAGGAACAUGACUGUGUUCCUUGCAGCUGCUAAUGUCAUAGUGAUGUCUCUCCAGCCUCUUGCAUAGAGGAAAUAUUUUUCAUUAGCUGUGUAUUUUCUGACAGUACACCAAAGAAUGCACACGGAAUAUAAGUAUCUAGAAAGCAAAAUUUAGGAAAUUUAAGAGACUUUAGGCAAAACCUCCAUUGUAAAUUAUUCUUUAACAGUGUCCCUGAAAAUAUCUUUGAAAGGAAAAAGUUUCACAAUUCAUUGUGUUUUACCUAAUAUAUUAGUUUUUUUGUGACUCAAGCACAAUAGGCAUGAUUCUUUGGAGAGGUCAGAGUGACGCCUGUAUAAAUAUCAUGUGAUGGCCGAUGGAAAUAUUUUGUUAAGAAAAAGGAAAAAUGUUGAUGGAUCUAUGCCAGACUUUACUUUUCCGUACCCUUAUAAUCACCCACUGUGACAGAGACUGCUAAUUGUGCUCCAGUAUCUGUUUUCGCCUUCUCACAUAGUACUAGAACUCCUAAUUUUUAGCUGGACACAUGGCUGCUCAGAAUAAAUACUGUUUCCUAGCCUCUCUUGAAGCUAGGUGUGUGAUGGCUGUCUGUUGACAGAUGUUAAUGAAAGAGGUGCACACAACUUCCAGAAAGUGCCACUUAAGGGAGGGAGCAUGACUUUCUUCUCCCCUUCCUUCUUCCUGCAGGCUGGAAUGUAGAGAUGAUGGCUAGACUGUAAGCAGACAUCAUGGAUCAAGAUGUGACCCUAGGGGAUUACUACUGUAUAACAAAUUACCACACAAUUUUAGCAGCUUAAAACAACAAACACUAUCUUGCAGUUUCCGUGUUCAGGAAUUCAAGAAUGGCUUAGCUGGGUGGUUCUGUCUCAGAGUCUCUCGAGAGGUUGUAGUCAAGCUGUUGGCCAGAGCUGCAGUCAAUGGAAGGUUCAAAGGGGCUGGAGGAUCCUCUCCCAGGAUGGUUUAUUCACAUGGCUGUUGGCAGGAGGCAUCAGUUCCAUGCUGGCUAUCGACAAUAGGACAUUUCCAUAGGACUGCUUGAGUGUUCACGUGGCAUGUCAUCUGGCUUUUCCACAAGUGAGUAAUCCAAGAGAGAGCAAGGAGAAAGCUGCCAUGUCAUUUAUUACUUAGUUUUAUUAAGUGUCACAUCAUCACUUCUGCCAUACUCUUUGUUAUAGAUAGCUCACUAAAUCUAGCCCACAUUCAAGGGGAGGGAACUAGAUGCCACUUCUUGAAAAGAAGAACUUUGUGGUAGACAAAAUCAUUGCCUGUGACCACUCCCACCCCCAGCCAAAAAUAUCCAUAUCUUAAUCCCCAGAACCAGUGAAUAUGCUACCUUACAUGGAAUAAAGAACUUUGUUGAUGUAAUUAAGUAUCUUGAGAUAGGGAAAUUAUCAUGGAUUAUCUGGGUAGGAUUAAUUUAAUCACAAGAGUCCUUAUAAGAGGAAGGCAAGAGGAUCAGAAUGAGAGUAGUAAAUGUAAUGAUGGAAGCAGGUCAGAGUGAUAUGGCCAUGUGUCAAGGAAUGAACACAGCCCUUAGAUGCUGGCAAAGGUAAGAAUGGAUUUUCCUCUAGAGCCUCCAGAAGGAAUGCAGCCUUUGAUUUUAGCCGUGUAAGACCCAUUUAGGACUUCUGACCUCCAUAAAUGUAAGGUAAAAAAUUGCUGUUUUUUUACCACGAACCAUGAUGUUUGUGGUAAUUUGCUACAGUAGCAAUGGAAAACUAAUACAAGCAUCAAAGUAUUUGUGGACAUAUUUUAAAAAUCAUCACAGUCCACCCUCUGGUCACAAAUUAUUAUUUUUUAAAAACAUUUAUUUAUUUUGGCUGU